rnacentral:rRNA from 1 species
UGCCAGCCGCCGCGGUAAUACGGAGGGGGUUAGCGUUGUUCGGAAUUACUGGGCGUAAAGCGUACGUAGGCGGAUUAAUAAGUUAGAGGUGAAAUCCUGCAGCUUAACUGCAGAACUGCCAUUGAUACUGUACGUCUUGAAUUCGGUCGAAGUGGGCGGAAUGUGUAGUGUAGCGGUGAAAUGCAUAGAUAUUACACAGAACACCGAUAGCGAAGGCAGCUCACUAGGCCUGGAUUGACGCUCAGGGACGAAAGCGUGGGGAUCAAACAGGAUUAGAUA